GGCUUAGUGGUUAGCGGUUAGCACGUUUGCCUCACACCUCCAGGCUCCGGGGUUCGAUUCCCGCCGGGGCCA